rnacentral:rRNA from 1 species
GGGCCCGCACAAGCGGUGGAGCAUGUGGUUUAAUUCGACGCAACGCGAAGAACCUUACCAAGGCUUGACAUCCUCAGAAUACUUAGGAAACUAGGUAGUGCCCUUCGGGGAACUGAGAGACAGGUGGUGCAUGGUUGUCGUCAGCUCGUGUCGUGAGAUGUUGGGUUAAGUCCCGCAACGAGCGCAACCCCUAUCUUUAGUUGCUAACGCGUAGUGGCGAGCACUCUAGAGAGACUGCCGGUGACAAACCGGAGGAAGGUGGGGAUGACGUCAAAUCAUCAUGCCCCUUAUGUCUUGGGCUACACACGUGCUACAAUGGCCGGUACAGACGGUUGCGAAGCCGCGAGGUGGAGCUAAUCUGAGAAAGCCGGUCUCAGUUCGGAUUGUAGGCUGCAACUCGCCUACAUGAAGUCGGAAUCGCUAGUAAUCGCAGGUCAGCAUACUGCGGUGAAUACGUUCCCGGGCCUU